rnacentral:rRNA from 1 species
AUCGAGCGGAAACGAGUUAUCUGAACCUUCGGGGGACGAUAACGGCGUCGAGCGGCGGACGGGUGAGUAAUGCCUAGGAAAUUGCCCUGAUGUGGGGGAUAACCAUUGGAAACGAUGGCUAAUACCGCAUAAUGCCUACGGGCCAAAGAGGGGGACCUUCGGGCCUCUCGCGUCAGGAUAUGCCUAGGUGGGAUUAGCUAGUUGGUGAGGUAAUGGCUCACCAAGGCGACGAUCCCUAGCUGGUCUGAGAGGAUGAUCAGCCACACUGGAACUGAGACACGGUCCAGACUCCUACGGGAGGCAGCAGUGGGGAAUAUUGCACAAUGGGCGCAAGCCUGAUGCAGCCAUGCCGCGUGUGUGAAGAAGGCCUUCGGGUUGUAAAGCACUUUCAGUCGUGAGGAAGGUAGUGUAGUUAAUAGCUGCAUUAUUUGACGUUAGCGACAGAAGAAGCACCGGCUAACUCCGUGCCAGCAGCCGCGGUAAUACGGAGGGUGCGAGCGUUAAUCGGAAUUACUGGGCGUAAAGCGCAUGCAGGUGGUUUGUUAAGUCAGAUGUGAAAGCCCGGGGCUCAACCUCGGAAUAGCAUUUGAAACUGGCAGACUAGAGUACUGUAGAGGGGGGUAGAAUUUCAGGUGUAGCGGUGAAAUGCGUAGAGAUCUGAAGGAAUACCGGUGGCGAAGGCGGCCCCCUGGACAGAUACUGACACUCAGAUGCGAAAGCGUGGGGAGCAAACAGGAUUAGAUACCCUGGUAGUCCACGCCGUAAACGAUGUCUACUUGGAGGUUGUGGCCUUGAGCCGUGGCUUUCGGAGCUAACGCGUUAAGUAGACCGCCUGGGGAGUACGGUCGCAAGAUUAAAACUCAAAUGAAUUGACGGGGGCCCGCACAAGCGGUGGAGCAUGUGGUUUAAUUCGAUGCAACGCGAAGAACCUUACCUACUCUUGACAUCCAGAGAACUUUCCAGAGAUGGAUUGGUGCCUUCGGGAACUCUGAGACAGGUGCUGCAUGGCUGUCGUCAGCUCGUGUUGUGAAAUGUUGGGUUAAGUCCCGCAACGAGCGCAACCCUUAUCCUUGUUUGCCAGCGAGUAAUGUCGGGAACUCCAGGGAGACUGCCGGUGAUAAACCGGAGGAAGGUGGGGACGACGUCAAGUCAUCAUGGCCCUUACGAGUAGGGCUACACACGUGCUACAAUGGCGCAUACAGAGGGCAGCAAGCUAGCGAUAGUGAGCGAAUCCCAAAAAGUGCGUCGUAGUCCGGAUUGGAGUCUGCAACUCGACUCCAUGAAGUCGGAAUCGCUAGUAAUCGUGGAUCAGAAUGCCACGGUGAAUACGUUCCCGGGCCUUGUACACACCGCCCGUCACACCAUGGGAGUGGGCUGCAAAAGAAGUAGGUAGUUUAACCUUCGGGAGGACGCUUACCACUUUGUGGUUCAUG